rnacentral:rRNA from 1 species
UGUUGCCUUAAGUGGCGCAACGAGCGCAACCCCUGUCCUUAGUUGCCAGCGGGUAAUGCCGGGAACUCUAGGGAGACUGCCGGUGCCAAACCGGAGGAAGGUGGGGAUGACGUCAAGUCAUCAUGCCCCUUAUGUCCAGGGCUUCACGCAUGCUACAAUGGCCGGUACAAAGGGCUGCGAUACCGCAAGGUGGAGCGAAUCCCAAAAAGCCGGUCUCAGUUCGGAUUGGGGUCUGCAACUCGACCCCAUGAAGUCGGAGUCGCUAGUAAUCGCAGAUCAGCAACGCUGCGGUGAAUACGUUCCCGGGCCUUGUACACACCGCCCGUCACGUCACGAAAGUCGGCAACACCCGAAGCCGGUGGCCCAACCCUUGUGG